rnacentral:miRNA from 1 species
CCGGGCGGGCGGGACGGAGG